AUAUUAUGAACUUGGUGAAAGAUCACAAAGUUCUUGCAUGGCAGUUAAAAACAGAUCAGAUUUCUAAAACAAUAAAUGCAAUUCGAACAAAAGUGAAUGAAAUUACUUAUAAGCCUCUAGAAAUUAAUGAGGCUUUUAAGAAUUUUUAUUCUGAGUUGUAUAAAUCAGAAUCAAAGAAUGAUGACAUUAAGAUAGAAGAAUUAUUAUCACAAAUAACUCUUCCAAAAUUAAAUACAGAAGAACAGAAGGGAUUAGGUAUGCCUUUUACAUUGAAGGAAGUUGAAGAAGCUUUGGGAUCACUUCAAAGUAAUAAAUCUCCAGGAGAAGAUGGUUUUCCACCUGAAUUUUAUAAAAAGUUUAAAGAUUUAUUAAUUCCUCCUUUUAUGGAGUUAAUAUAUCAAGCGGAAAGAAUGCAUAAGCUUCCAGAAUCUUUUUCAACAGCUAUUUUAAUAGUAUUGCCAAAAAAAGAUAGAGACCUUUUAAAACCAACAUCAUAUAGACCUAUUUCUUUAUUAAACACUGAUUAUAAAAUAAUAGCAAAAAUCUUAUCUAAUAGAUUAUCUAAAUGCUUACCAAAAUUAGUGCAUAUGGAUCAAACAGGAUUUAUCAAAAAUAGACAAUCGGCAGAUAAUGUAACUCGGUUAUUUAGUAUAAUCCAUUUAGCACAAAAGAGGGAGGAAAUGAGUGUGGCAGUUGCUUUAGAUGCAGAAAAAGCAUUUGAUAGAUUGGAAUGGGAUUUUUUUAUUUAAGGUACUGGGAAAAUAUGGAUUAGGAACAUCAUUUAUAAAAUGGAUUAAAACCUUAAAUACUAAUCCCAAAGCUAAAGUAGUGACAAAUGGUCAAAUUUCAACAUCAUUUCAGUUAACAAGAUCAACUAGGCAAGGUUGCCCAUUAUCACCUGCUUUAUUUGUGUUGGCAAUAGAACCACUAGCUGAAUUAAUUAGAAUGGACCCAGAUAUUAAGGGUUUCAGAGUUAAUCAGGAAGAAUACAAGAUUAACUGAUUUGCUGAUGAUGUUUUACUUUAUUUAACAGAUCCAUUACAUUCACUACGCAAAUUAUCUUAUAGAUUAGAAGAAUAUGGGAAAAUAUCGGGUUAUAAAAUAAAUUGGGAUAAAAGUGAAAUUUUACCUCUUACUAAAGGAGAUUAUAAUCAAUGUCGAUUAAUAACUCAAUUUAGAUGGCCAGCAAAUGGUAUAAAAUAUUUAGGUAUAAGAGUUGAUAAUGAUAUAAAAAAAUUUACAUAAAUUAAAUUAUUUACCACUUUUGAAAAAAAUUCAGGAAGAUCUUGAAAAAUGGAUGGCAUUACCAAUAACAUUAGUAGGUAGAGUAAAUACUAUAAAAAUGAAUAUAUUCCCUAGACUACAAUAUUUAUUUCAAUCAUUACCAAUACAAUUACCCCAGAAGUUUUUUCAAGAGUUAAACAAAUAUGUGAGGAAAUUCCUCUGGAAUAUCGCUGAAAAUCGUUGGAAAAAUUGACAUGGAAAUUUGAUCUAGGAGGAUUACAACUUCCAAAUUUUAAGAAUUAUUAUAAAGCAAAUCAACUUAGAUUUAUUGCAUCUUUUUUUGAGAAAGAUAAACCGGCAUGGAUUAGAAUAGAACUAGAUAAAAUAGGAGAAAACGUACCAGAAGAUUUUAUAUACAAAUGGGAAUCUAAAUGGAUACGGGAAAAGAAAGAAUCUCCUAUAUUAAAACAUUUGAUUGACUUAUGGAAUAAGAUAAAUGUUGAUGAUGAGACAAAAUCUUUAUUAGCAAAGAGAUCUUUAAUUCAAAAUAGACUUAUUCCUUUCACAAUGGACAAUCAACUUUUAUAUAAUUGGAUUCAAAAAGGGAUUAGAUAUAUAGCGAAUUGUUUUGAAGGAGGUAUAUUAAUGUCAUUUGAUCAAUUAAAGAAUAAAUAUAAAAUAUCAAAUAACACUUUAUUUUGUUACUUUCAAUUAAGGGCUUAUUUAAGAGAAAAAUUAGGUCAAACAAUGUUAUUGCUGAAAUCUAAUGAAAUAGAAAUUUUAAUUCAAAAAGGAAAUAUUAAAAAAUUUAUAUCUUGUAUGUAUAAUUUGAUUCAAAGACAGGCAAUUAAACAAGGAGUCCAUAAGUCAAGACAAAAAUGGGAAAGUGAUUUGAAUAUUAAAAUUGAAGAAACAAAUUGGUCAAGACUAUGUCUUGAUAGUAUGACAAAUACAAUAAAUGUUCGGUUAAGAUUAGUGCAGUAUAAUUUUCUACAUCAAUUAUAUAUUACACCACAAAAAAUAAAAAAAUUAAAUCCAAAUUUAUCAGAUCAGUGUUUCCGAUGUAACCAGGAAACUGGUACUUUUUUACAUUCGACAUGGUCUUGCUCUAAAAUUCAACUUUUUUGGACAAAUUUAAGACUUUUACUGGAACAAAUUACAGGAACACAAUUUCCUCAUAAUCCAAUAUUACUUUUACUAGGUGAUAUUGAAGGGAUAAAACCGAAACUCAAACUAAAUAAAUAUCAGAAAGAAUUUAUAAAAAUUGCAUUGGCAGUAGCCAAAAAAGCUAUUGCAGUUACUUGGAAAUCGGAUACAUAUUUAAGUAUAGACUCUUGGAAGAAAGAAAUCUAUGGCUGUAUUCCAUUAGAAAAAAUUACUUAUAAUUUAAGAGAUAAAUAUGGAGCCCUUAUUUACAAAAGACAGGAUUAAAUAUAUAGAUGCCCUGAAGAUGAAACAAUUGGUUAUUAGGGGAAAGAAAUAAAUAUACAUAUUAAAGUUAUUACGAAUUCCAUGGAGCAUGUGGAGAUCUUCCAACAACCAGGCAUUCUUUCUUUCUUUCUUUUUUUUUUCUUUCUCUUUUUUUAUAUAGGGCAGUUAGGGGGAGGGGUUAAGGGGAGGGGGUAAGGGUUAUAUACAAUUUUUUCAUACUUUGUAACUAUUUAAAAAUGCAAUAAAAAAAGUUUUCAAAAAAAUCAGUGAUAAUAAAUCUGAUUCAAAAAUUAGACAAUGUAGGGUUCUGAAGGGAGUUUGUAUUGAAAGAAGUGUGUGGAAAGUCUAUCAACAGCUAUUUUUUAAAAAAAUAUAUAGUUCUGGAACAGAAACAGUAAGUGGUAUUCUCAUGUACAGAUGAAACAACAGGCAGAUAAGAAAGAGCACCUGUCUUUAAAGUUUCUACAGUUUAGAUAACAAUAUUUAAAUAUUCUUAUGGGUUGCUAAUGGAUUGUAGUUCGCAAGUUUUCAUCUGCUCGGGAACAAUCUUCCUUUGCAGCUCUUACGGAUGUACUUUCUGUAUCCUAAAGUGUUUGCAUUGCUCUUCAUUAUGCCUCUUUGAUUUCUUAUUGUUCAUAUUAACCCCUUUUUGUUUGCAACUUUCCUUUGGUUAUUGGUUUUGAUUUAACACUUCGAUUUUUCAAAAGAAUGACAACUUUUCUGCUUCAUUCAUAAACCAGAGAGCGCAAGUUGGAGUGAUUAACAAAGUCAACUGAAUCUUAAUAAUUAACUUUGAAAGAUUUUCUCAACUGUUUGUUAGUCUAUGGAUAGCAAUUAUGAAUCUAAAAUUAUUGCCAACUUUAUUAAAAGGAACUUUUGUACAUCUUAGACCAGUCACAUUUCUAGAACAUCGAGCAAUAGUUUCAGAAUAUUAGGUUGCAUAUCUAUUAUAGUUUCCUAAAGGCUUGUUCCAAUAAUGAAAUGACUUUUUGUAAAUCAUUAAAACUAUCCGAUAAUAUCAAGAAUUAAUGGGACAUAAAGACUAACAUGAAAAAAGCUGAAUGGUCCUGGCCUUGAGGGAAAAAUAUAAUAAAAGUGAAUGGAAGUAUUUCCUGAUACAACUCAUUAUUUGAAAACAUUUAUUUCCUUUUACAGCAGGGAAACUAAUAAACUUUCCAUUUAAUUUUGGGUCUGUUUCUCAGCCUGACCCCUGCUGCCAAACUUGUCACACUUUCUGUCGAUGCAGAACUAUUCUACGUGGGUUAUUUGGUCCUUAAAGUUUUUGGAUCAUUUCGCUCAGCUUUUCCCUCCAAUCUGAAGCUACUUCCUGAAGCAGAGGGAAGAACCAACAUGGUACUGGUAUAGUGGUAGUUCCUUGUGCAGCUUCUUACAUAGGCUCUUGUUUCUGCUCUAAGCUGAAAUAUAAAGGUUUUUUUUAAAUGUAUGGACGAGAGAAAAUCUGCAGAUGCUGGAAAUCUGAGCAAAACACACAAUGCUAGAGAAACUCAGCAGGACAGGCAGCCUCUAUGGGGAAAAAAGGUACAUUUGAUGUUUUGGCCAUCGACCGUACUUUUUUCCAUAGAUGCUGCCUGGCCUGCUGAGUUCCUCCAGCAUUUUGUGUGUGUUGCUUAAAUUUAUGGAGACCUACUCAAAUAUUUCAUCCUCUAAUUCAGGAACAGGAAUAUUACCACAGCAUCACUGAGUGUAAAGUUCAUGCCAGCUAAGGAGGGGAAUUUAGUGUAUUCCAGUAACAAGCCCUUACUUGAACAGGUGCAAGAAUCAUAUAAAUUUCUGACACAAAAGGAGGUUGUGUAUUCCCCAGCAAAAGAAAUAAGAGCCAUAUUCAGUUAUUUACACACAAGACUCCCAGACUUCAAGUAUUAUCUUUUCAAUAUUGUGAGGUUUGCUGCCUCCUUGCCCUUCUAAGGUAGUAAAUUCAAGGACCCCACAACUCAUUGAGUGAAAUGAUGCUUUCCCAGUUCUCUCCUCAAUAAUCCUGCUCUCCAUUUGUGGACAACAUGAGUGAAUCUGCAGAUGCUGGAAAUAAAUAAAAACACAAAAUGCUGGCAGAACUCAGCAGGCCAGACAGCAUCUAUGGGAGGAGGUAGUGACGACGUUUCGGGCCGAAACCCUUCAUCAGGAGUGAAGUAACAUGGGAUGGUCGAGGGGGGAUAAGAACUGGGGGGAGGGAUAAAGUAGAGAGCUAGGAAGUGAUAGGCUGGAGGGAAAUGGGCUAGGGGGAAGGUGGAGAAUUAUGGGAAAUAAAAGAGAAAGAAAGGUAGGGCUGGGGGGAGAUUAUAGUGAGGAGGGAAAAAGAGAAAGAGAACCAGACUAAAAUUAUAGAUAGGGAUGGGGGUAAGGGGGGGGCAGGGGUAUCAACAGAGGUCUGUGAAUUGAAUGUUCAUACCGGCAGAUAGGAGGCUACAUAGGCGGGAGAUAAGGUAUUGCUCCAUCCACCUGCGCGUGGCCUCAUCUUGAUGGUAGAGGAGGCCAUGGACAGACAUGUCGGAGUGGGAGUGGUCUGGAAUUGAAGUGUGUGGCCGCAGGGAGAUCCCGCCACUGCUGGAGGACUGAGCGCCGGUGUUCGGCGAAACGGUCUCCCAGUCUGCGUCGGGUCUCCCUAAUGUAUAAAUGGCCCAUCGGGAGCACCAGAUACAGUAUAAUCACCCCAGCUGACUCGCAGUUGAAGUGUUGCCUCACCUGAAAGGACUGUCUGGGGCCUGGGAAGAUGUGUGGGGGCAGGUGUAGCACUUCUUCUGUUUGCAGGGAUGAGUGCCCGCAGAGAGGUCCGUGGGGAAGGAUGGGGGUGAUGAAUGGACAAGGGAGUCACGUAGGGAGCGAUCCCUGCAGAAAGCCGAGAGUGGGGGGGGGGGGGGGGGGGGGGAGGGGAAGAUGUGGCUGGUGGUGGGAUCCCGUAGGAGGUGGCGGAAGUUACGGAGGAUUAUACGUUGGAUCUGUUGGCUGGUAGGGUGAUAGGUGAGGACCAGGGGGACUCUAUCCCUGGGGGGAUGGGGUGAGGGCAGAGUUGAAGGAGCUCCAUUUGUGGAGCACCUUUCUCUUUACCCAGUUGAGGCCUCUGAAAAUGUUACACAUCUCAAUUAAUUCUCUACUCAAUCUCCUUUGUUCCACAGAAGCAACACCAUUUCCUUUUUUAACAUCCUUUUUAACUAUCAAAAUAAUACAAUUGGAAAGCAAAAUUAAUUUGUAUUUUUACACUUUUAAUGUAGGUCUCGUUUUUUUUAAAUGACAAUUUAUUUUUACACAGUAAAAUAUCAAGGAUUUUGUCAGGGUUUGUGAAGUUAAGGUUAUGAAUAUAUAAACCUUUUUAACCCAUCACAAAACAUUGUAAUAUCAGACAGAUUCUGGUAAAUAUUAGAUAAAUGAUUUCCUUAUGAAGGCUGCUUGGCAGUCUGGCUGCUGUACAAUCAGUUCUCCAGCAUCUCAAAGCUGAGCAGAAAUGGUUGACAGUACUUAACUCUGACUAAACUGCAAUGUCAAUGUGACUUGUAGAACUGAAAGAAACUACUAGAAACAUGCAGCUUGUCUGAAUUGGGAGGAGAAAGACAGUCUAAUAUUCAUCAGACCUCUGCUUCUAGCAUGUUGUCUUCCACUUAUAACAAUAAGAAAACCUAACCUGGGGUAUAAAAACACCUCAGGAGAUGCCAAGUGAAGUUGGCACAUUGACUCGCUUAAUUUGUAUUGCUUUUCAUAGAAUCCAACAACUUCCAAGAAAGAAGAAAAAAAAGCUACACUUAGAAAAGGAUUUCCAUUCAUUUCUUUUUGUUUAUGUUCUGCCAAUAGAAGAACACAUUUUUUGGUCUUAUUUAACUCAUCUUUGGUACAUCACUUUCAUAUAUCCUCCUUUCAUGAUUUAUAAAAGUUACUUCAAAAUACAAGUUUUGUUUAACACUUUUCUAUUGUCAGUUUCAAGUUAGAAAGGCAAAGGCACGUUCAUGUGUAUUUCCUGAACAUCAUUAUUCAGCCUCUUUUGAGGACAUUUUCCUCACACCCUCGAUUUUGAAACAUCCGCAAAAUAUGAAAAUUCACCAUUAUGCUCAAACUAAUGAAAUAGAAGGAUUUAAUCCCUGAGGCCCCAGACCAGAUUUGCUGCUAGAGAAUAGAUCUACAUAUCUGUUAAAUACAAUAAAUUCUUUGAAUUAAUGUUAAUGAUUUAGUGGAUAUGGGCAGCAAUGUGGUCUUCAGUUAUCAAACAACUCAGCUUGAAUAUGGUGAGAAAUUCUUCCAAAUGUUUAGUAAAAUUAAUAUUCUUUACACCAGCUAUUGUUUGGGAGAUGCACCAGGGCUGAGGACAGCCAUAGUUCCAGUUUUGCCCAGCUGUUGAGUACAAAAAUCACCCUUGUGUCUUCUGCUAUUACCAUAUCCAAACCACUUGACUAGGUAGCAUAUCAGUAAUAACGAUUCAAGCUUCUAGUGGCAGGAAUAUCUGGCUGACCGUUCAUCCAGAUCUC